rnacentral:rRNA from 1 species
UACGUAGGGUGCAAGCGUUGUCCGGAAUUAUUGGGCGUAAAGAGCUCGUAGGCGGUCUGUCACGUCGGCUGUGAAAUCCCGAGGCUCAACCUCGGGUCUGCAGUCGAUACGGGCAAACUAGAGUAUUGCAGGGGAGACUGGAAUUCCUGGUGUAGCGGUGAAAUGCGCAGAUAUCAGGAGGAACACCGGUGGCGAAGGCGGGUCUCUGGGCAAUAACUGACGCUGAGGAGCGAAAGCCGUGGGGAGCGAACAGG